CACUGACGGAAUUACACAAGGCCCAUGUUACAAAAGAGCUAGUUAAAAAUGAUCUUCCUUCCAGGCCUGGUGGUGCACACCUGUAAUCCUAGCACUUGGGAGGCCGAUGCAGGAGGAUCACUCAAGGUUGCUAAUGAAUUGAAUAUCUGAAAAGCAGACAGCAAAGGACAAAGCGAUCUGUACUAUCUCCAGCCUGGAACCAUAAGCUUACUCACGCCAAGUUUCAAAACAAUCCCAGCAGCCUCUUUGUCCCGCCCAGGAGGGGACCUAACAGAAGAGCAGGGUAAGUGAUGUCCUUGCUCAUGGCUUAUUAAUUCCGGCAAAGUAAAGUGGAGAAGAUGCAAAGCCCCACGAUCUGCUGGGUAUCAGGAGAAGCAAAUGGAGCUAAGCACUGAUGCCAGGCAGUGAGCGACCCUGCGGGGACAGGCAUGGGGCACGGGGCACGUCCUGUUCUCAGCACCUCCCGUCAACAGCUCAUCUCUGGGAGACCUCAGAGAGCCUCGGGUUGCCACCGUCGGUUAUUUGGCCUCUUCCAAGGCAUUAAUGCCCCUAGACGCAAAGGAGUCGGCAAGGACUCAGGUGCUGAGGAUGAUAUUUUGAGCCACAGCUAAAGCGGAAAAGAACUUUCCAUUUAUAAUGAAGUCCUAGACGCAGGACAUGGACAUCCCCAAAUAAUGUGGGAUGGCAGCAGUGCGAGACCCUGAAAAGAGGGUGCGGGCCACCCUGGAAUGGGACCUGGGAGGCGUCUAUGCUGCUCGCUGGCUGCCCAGGGAGAGAAUGGACCGGGGCCAGGACUGCACACAGUGCAGCCUGGUUCCGUCGCCCGUCACUCCUUUGCUGCCACCAACUCCUCGCCCAUGAGUCCCUGCAGGAAUAUUCCUGGCCCACAGCUGCUUAGUGUCAGGCAGGACAGGCACGGCCUGCUCACGGUACCUCACCUCCAUGUUGGCAGCGCACGUGUGGGUGCUCUGGACAGCCAUCUUUGAGACCCGCAGUGUGGCACGUGUGGCAGCUUUAAUCCAGAGGCCAUAAUUAACAUUGGAAGCUCUUAUCAGGCAAGCCCUCCCCGGGCAGAUGGACCUCUGGCAAUCAGUGUGACAGUGCCAGCCGUCCCUGUGACAGACCUCUGGCCACACCCCUCCACUGAGCACGAGGUCCACAGCUGGGAGGGGUGCCCUUGUGGGUCCCAUGGGAAACAAUUUGAGUGACUUCUCCUGAAUGCAGAGCAAUUGUUGUAACUUUGAUUACAUCAAGCCUUCUUUCUUCAUACUGAUUUAUAGAGCUGACUAUGGUAUUUUUAAUUGGCUCUAAGCAUUGUGAAUAAGGGUAGACAAGGCAGUGGUAUGUAAUCUCUGAAGCCAUCAGACAGUCUCUUGUUUUUUUUACGUUCUCCGUAAAAUAUAUGAGCCCAAUGGGAUGGCAGAGCCAGUCAGCUCCAGGAAUGCCAACUAGGUAGGGGCCUCACCAUAAGGAGGCUAUGAGUCCUCAGGGCACAGAAGUUUGCAUAUCAGAAACCGAAGCAACAGCCUCCGAAAACAACUCGAAUGCUACCCUAAUUGAAUUAUGCAGACUGAUCCUUCUGCAGAUGGUUGUCCCUGCAUUUUGCAGAGAUGCUCUUCUCCCCACCUGGCUCCCCAGCUCAGGUUACUCAUGGAAUUCCCACCAUCCUCACUGUCACUCAUCCUCAGCCACCCCCUUCUUCACAGGAUCAUAAAUCCUGGUAGAGGCCUAGGAUCAGGGCCUUUGUCCACACAUCCUCACGGGGAUUGGACUUAGGACCCUCUGGCUGCCCUUAACUUGGAACAUGUCUUGAUGUCUUUACACUCACCGUGGGUUGCAUUAGAGGUGGAGAUUGGAAUUAACUUUCCGGGUUGUAAUAAUGCCUCAGUGGAUUGCAAAUAAAACUUUUUGGAUUGUGAAGAAGACUAGAAAAAGGAUUAUGAUACUUGGAUUCCUGUAUUCUACAUUGGGAUUACAAUCCAUCCCCACCUCUUUGUUCUCCACCAUGCUCUGGUCCUGAGACCCCAUGUUUAUCUGCCUGAAUUUACAGCCUUGAUCGAGCAGCCUCCAUCCUGGCUCCCUCUUUCCAAGGGCAGACUGCACAGCUGGGUCGAGCACUGUCAGCCCUAGGAUGCCCAGGGGACACUUUUUACAAGGUCUGAUCAAAAUACACAGUGAUUUUUGUUUACAUUUUUAAAAUUUAUUACAGUAAAAAUACACUCACCGUGAACCCCUCCUUGAAAUACUCCCACUUAUUUUGAACACACUUAGCCCCUCACUGCGGCUGCCUUCUGAAGCAGUUCUAGAAGCCUUCUUUUGUGGAUGUCUUUACGAGUUGUAAUAAAAAAAAAAAAAUAGAUGGUAGAAGCUUUCUCCCAGUGCUGGGAAGGUGGGUUCAUAAAACAUGAUGCUGUACCCGCAUCCUCUUGAUCUGGCUCUUGUGCUGGCUUCUGGCUCUUCCCGAGUCAGAAUGACCAUGUAAGGUAACCGGCUUUAAUCUGUGGAGCAGUCCAGAGCUGCCUCAGAAAGCGGCAGGAGCAAUGGGAUAAGAAUGUUUGAAGCAAGGGGAGGAUUUUCAGGGGGAUUUGUGGCAAUGCGUUAUUUACUGUAAGAAAUUUUAAAAUGUAAGUGUUCACUAUGGUUUUCAGUCACACUUAUGGAGCAGUGUGGAUCAUGACCUAGGCUCCCCACACAUGUGCACCUCAGUGAGAGAAAUUUCUAGAGCAGAUGAGACAGAAGAGAUGACCGGCUGUCUGUCCGCUCUCUCCUGCACAGAGCCCAAGGAGCCCCAGCCCCAUGGGGUCCCAGGCUCCCUGAGGAAGGCGGCGAUGUCAGCCUGUGCCACUGCAUGUGGUAGAAAUACACUUACUGCGGGUGACUCUGGGCUAUCAGAGUGAUGUUACUGAAUGGCCCGUCCCGAGCAGGGAUGCCAGAGCGCAGCAUGCAACUCACAGGUCGAGGACUGGUCUCCACCCCGUCUUGUGUGCCUCUCUCCUCCUCAUCCUGCGGUUCCCCUCUUGCCCUCCUCUCUGCCCCUCCGAGGAGCUAAAACUUCUGCUUGGUGUAUAGCAUUUCACAGAUUUAAUGAUUUUUUGCUUCUAUUCUUCUAAUACUGGAUGCCUGGUAGCAACCUGAAGCCAGGGUCUCAGGCCGAGCUUCAGCCUGGGAAUGAAGAUGGAGGCCUGCAGGGCUGGCGGGCUGUGAACCCCACAGAAGGGCUGCUUCUCAUCAGAUACAAAGGACCUGAGCUGGGGGGCAGCAGGGAGGAGGAGAUGACGACACAGAGUAGCUGGGCUGGGACUGAGACGGGUCCUGGACCUGCAAAGGGCCCGAGCCCCUUCCUGCACGUUGCAGUAAAGCCUAAGUGCAAGGCCUGGUCUCGAGGCUUUUUCAGGGCUCUGCCACUGAGUCACGGCUCUGCCUCGGUUCAUGAACGCGCCUGUCUGCAAGCUGUUUGCUUCACAAAAGAGCAUUUGGCAAAAUUCACAAACUUCACACUGAGCGACAGACAUGACCACAGCCAUCUUCCCCUCACACACACAAAGGCAGCUGCCUUCCCCCGACUCCUAAAAUGAAUGAAGCCUGUGUGUGCCUUGACUAAUACAUUCCUAAAAUUAAGUUCAUUUUCACAUUGUAAAUCCAAAGAGUUCUUCUCAGCUCACGUCACGUCAUGCUAAUUUUGUUUUCUCUUACACUGACAUCUUGUUCCUAAAACAGUAGUAUACUUACUUAUUUUCUUUACUUUAUAAGGUACACAAAGUAAUUCUAAAGCGCUGUUAUUAUUAGUACCAAGACACCACUGAGAGUCGUACAAGAUUUCCUUGUAUUCUUAGAAUAUAUUCCACUAUAAUCAGAAUACUAUAUUAAAUAAACACUGUUUGAAAUAACACUUUCCUCUGGGUGAUUGUUCUCUAAUAUGCUUUGUUUGUUGUUUGGCAGCAUGUUUUUGUUGUUGUUGUUUGCUUUUGAGGCAGGGUCUCAUACACAGCCCAGGCUGGUCUCGAGCUUGUGGUGAUUCUCCCGCCUCCACGUCACGAGUGCUGGGAUCACAGGUAUGCGGCACCACAUCCAGCUAUACAGUUCGUUUUUAUCUCUUGCAUUUAACUGUAUUUUUAGAAUAUAUACGGCAUUUUCACAGCUCACAGGUCCCGAGUAUUUUAAAAAGAUGCACUUAGAGAAGCAGCUCUCUGGUUCUUCUUUCCUCCUCCCCAGAGCCCACGCUGCGGCCACCCGUUGGCAACAUUUUCAUUCAUAUCUGGCUCACCGGUCCUGAUUUCUUAGCAGUAAACCCUAAGUGUGUGCGUGUUACCUCACUGCCCAAGGCUCCCAGCCUGGCGCAGAGCCCUCACUUCCCUGUUGGGGAGCCAGCUGAUCUGGGGUGCGAGUGGGGCCUGUCCCCUACAGAGGCAGGCUGACAUGGUUGAUAGAAUUUUCGGCGCGGCUAAAAAGAUAAGUAUGAAAUAAAAGUGGCCUUUAUUUUAAGAAUGUGGAGAGAGACUCCAUGACUCUGUGGGGUCUGGCAUUCUCUCUACCACACACGUGGUGUGGGGGCAUACGUAUAGUUUAGGUUUGGGGUGGUGCCUAAGGGGCAUUAGUGAUGCACAGGUAGCCCAUUGGUAUUCAUUUCAAGCCAUAGGUAAAUUGCCUAGGGGCGGGAAAGGUGACCUCAAAAUAGAGCCUCUUGUCCUUUCUGGGGCAAAAUCUUUUCAAUGGUAACAGGGGUGCUUGAGGAGUUGGGUUCCAGGAUGGUGCUAACAUGCUGUGAGAAGGCCCCGGAGCACCCUGACCUCUGAGGGUGUCAGGAAGAAAGGGGUAGCAGAUCCCGCCUGCUGGAGCCAGGGCUCCACACCCAGACCUGGAAAAGACGGGCUCUAUCUCAGGGAGCAGGCAGGCGAAGGUGCUUUGUUAUGGCAACAGAUACAGACAGGCAGGGAGGCAGACAGGCAGAUGGCCAGGCAGGCAGGCAGGCAGGCAGGUGGUGUGAUUGAAGCGUACAGUGAAUGCUUAAAUUGAAAACAAUUAUUACGUCAAAAAACACAUUGCCUUUAAGCCCCUCGAGAUGCUCCUCCUGCCGGCUUGCCGCUCCAGCCGACCCUGGAGUCUGCAGGAGCCUAAUAAAGGGCACGGGCCACCCUGCUGCCCAGUGCCACCCGCUGGAGAGUCAGGCUCAUAAAACCGUUCCAGUGCAUCUCCUUCACUGAUCCAGCCCUGGCUCCUCGGGGCCAAGGGGACACAUGUGUGGGAAGCAAGGACAGGCGUGGUGAGGUCGAUUGUGGCACCCUCACCCCAGCUGUGACAAGCUUUUGGACACCUACACGUUCCUCACAGUUUUUAUCAUACUUCACAGGUACUUAGGGGGAAUAGAGGUUUUUUAACAGAAACAGCAAAGCAUUUAUCAAGAACUUGUGCGUGCCUACACUGAUAAGAUUACAUCCAAAGGAUGAGAAGUAUAAAAUGUUGUACUCUAGAAAAAUGGCUUCGUUAUAUUUGUAUCAUACCAAAAUACCUGUAACUUGGCCUUACUGUAUAUGUGUUUUCCCUUCCCCCUCUGGGUGACCUAAUUGACAUGUUAAUCAAUGCUCUCCUCUGUAAAGAAUUGUAAAAUCUUACCUAGUUGAUAUGUUAACCAUUGCUGCCCUCUACAAAUAACAGAUGUGGUGCUAAAAUAAGGUAACUAAGGUUGUUAAUUGCUGUUAGACUUCUCUAUUCUUUGCUGAGGAAAACAGGAUUUCUUCUUAUCUAAACUUGCUUGUAUGCAGGGAGACUUGCUUGUUAGCACAACCUUUACCUGAUCCUGCUCUUCCCAAGACAUGUAAUAGCCCUGUUUCUGUUUUGUAGUGUGCCACACCCCAUCCCCUUCUUUACAUUGUGUGACCAGCAGCUGUUUGUGGAUUUACAAGAUAAAAGCCCUGACUUUUAGCUGUCAGGUGCGCAGUUUCCAAAUUGGCUCCUGGAGGCUGUGUCACCAGGCCUGGCCUAAAAUAAAGCCUUUGCUCCCCAAAUUUUAA